GCUGCUGCUUUCUACAUUAUCGCAACUGCCAGAGCUCUUAGUGCUGCAGUUUUCUAGUCGCAGUGCGGCAAAGCAGACGCAUAGAACUAGGCACAAAGCAACAUCGAUGUUUUUUAUUCUUCAUUCUUUUUUGUAUGAGGGAAAUUUACUUUUGUUAGCAUAAGAGCAGACGUACAGCCUGGAUGUGCACGUUGGCUUCGUUUUCAGCUGAGCAGCUACUGCUCAGAGCCUGAUACCCAAAUUGCCUCUGAUGAAGAACAACUGGUUUCCCACCUUGUGUACGAUUAGUUUCUUACACCACGGUGAUAUACCUGCAAGAACAGGACAAAGGAGGCGGCACUUCUUACUAUCUGAUUGGGGCCUUUGCAGCCACUUGACUGCUGAAGCUGUCUAAACGAGCUAAGGGUGACAUAAUAUUGGCAUUAUAGAUUGAUGUAAGAAACCGUAGCAGUUAGAGCAAAGCUCAAACAAGAAACCAGACUCACUGACCUAAAUCAAUCCCAGUCCUUGUGGAUACAGGGCAGCAGUCGACUAGCAAUGACACAACCAGCCAUCAAGUGGAGAGUCUCUGGGAUUGCAAUCUGUGUCACUUGGAGCCUGUGAGAAUGAAACACUCCACUUUCGGUUAUUCAGUUGCUUUUCCUUUUUCUUUCUUUCCCUGUAAACAGCUAUUAAUUGUGCUUGGUCUCUAAGUGUAUAUUUGUAUGGAUUAGUCUUGUCUGUAUUGCAGUCCUUAUCUGCUCUUGCUGGAAAUCAGGGUAGUAAGUCAGUCUGCUUUAACAGUUGUUUCUUUCUGCGUGAUGCUAUGCAGCUAGAAUGGGUUACACUGACAACAAAGGAAGGAAGCACAAAGCAUCACUUUAUCUUCUGGGCUGUUACAGGAACAUAACUCUUUUUUUUCGAUAUGAUGCCGCCCUCUCCUUCUUUUCUGUUGUUUUUUUUUUAAUUCAUCUAAUCGAAGAGCCUAACAGACAAUCAUCAUGGAUGUGGUUUUUAAUGAUUUGGAAAAAGACAGCCUGUGGAGACUGUGAUUUGAGACAGCAACACAUUUAGGUUAUUGCCAAUUUGAAAUACUUGGUUUGUGAAGCAGAGCCCUAAGGGACAAGCUCAGUAACUGAGAGAAAGAUCGUAGAUAAAGAAAUAAAAAUGACAAGCGUAAUGGAGGUUCUGCAAAAGAGACUGUCAGAGAAUCAGUUCAUGGAUGGCAAUUUCACCAGUCUGAAACUGAAUAAUUCAUAGAAUGAAAUUACCCUGCUUUCACCUUUCCAUUUAAAUCGGCAUGAUCUGAAUCUCUAAUAAAUUUUCAAGAUAAAGUAAAAUGCCAAUUUGAACCUGAAGAGCUUUUAAAACCAGAUGCUACAUUCUGAAUCUUUCGUUACCUUUCACAAUUUUCCUGUGAGAAUCGCACUUCAUCACGAAGCACCAUUACCAGUGAAAAUUACUGUGAUUACAAUAGCAACAAUAGCAUAUCAUCAGAUGAUCUCUAAUUUUCCUAAUUUGCUAAGGCUGACGGUGUGGUUUUAAUGCCCAUCGUGUGUCAUCAUGUCUGGUAUGGAUCAGUAUCACACUGGAGCAAAAAUGUCUUAGUAUAUGCUUCAUUCUUCGGUCUGUUUUAUCAUCAGAAGAUAUUUUUGGAUGAUAAGAAGAAGCUACAAUCCUGCUCCAAGCCACAGCUCAGCACCUCCACUCCAAAAACUGUUCCACUGCCACAGCUAAAGGUUAUGAGUCAUCCCUGCCAUGGGGAGACAAUGUCCACUCAGGCUCCCUACCGCAAGUGAGCGUCUUUGAUGGAAGUGCUGGAGUCCUGCAGGGUUCCACUGAAUAUUUCAGCGCUGGGAAUUCAGGGUGGAGGAUCCCCAGAAAGAGACCUCAGAGCCCUGUCCCAGGAAAAGGCAGCAGAGAGAUCCUCCAAGCUGCACGGAUCCAGUCAAAGCCCAGCAGGUUCAUAUAAAAGGAGCUGCAAGGCCAGAGUGAAUUCAGUCUGCUGGCAGGGACUGGGGGAGUAAGAGGUGCUCCUGGCUGACUGCAGGAGCUGAACUGAUAUUGACCCCCACUUUUCAGCUAGAUCUGAGGACUAAAGGCCAGGCAAAGAGCUUCUGGGGAGGAAACCUGGGGGUGCUGCUCCAUUCCCAGGGCAGAAACCUUUAUCUGUAUUGGUAAAGCCCCUAUUGGUUUUACUGAGGAUUGAGCCCAGAGAGGGUGACAGAGACAUUGCCAGCAGAGGGCUACCAUGAUGGGCCUGGUUGGCCUGUUAAAACACUGAGCCCACAGAGGGCUGCAAGACAUGUUGGGACUUAUACCCUGCAAGGGGUAGGUUUGUUUUGCACAUGGACUGUAUGUGACUUGGCUGGAGAAAUAAGCAACUAAAUACCUGACUAUGCACAGCGGCCAACAGGAGGCACAUCAAUUAGAGAAAUGGAGAAACAACUGCAGCCACCCACACACACUCAACCACAGAAUGCUCACAUGAGAUACACGCAACCCAUCCUAGGUUAUCAGUUUAAGGAAAUGAUACAUCAGGAGUCACACCACGCUCUCAGCAACAUACCUAUCUGUUGCAGACAGUCUCAGGUGGGAUUUCUCUUCUGAAUGAAAUCUACACUCCAGGGGAAAGCUACCCUCAAACCAUUUGCCUCUCCUAUAAAUAAAAUGUUCAUUCUGUUUUGCUUCAGAGCAGCACUAGGCCAAGAUUCCAGGAGCAAUGUUCUUCUCUUAUCCUGAACCUUUCUUCCCAUCACAACGACAGGUCCGGCAGAAGAUCCAUCCUGAUAAAGCUUGAUUCAUUCUCAUAAUACCCAACUGACCCAGAUAGUUAUGGCUUCUGGGCCUUUUAUGAAUGGGAGCCUGUCCUCCCAUCAGUUCUAGUCACUCAGGAGAAUGGCAUGAUCAGCCAUUUCAACUCAGGGCUUCUUCAACUCACAAUCUAUUAUUUGGGUGGGCCUCAGACCUAGAAAGUGCAUGUUCAAAGACCAUUCAAACUGUUCUCAAAGACAGCAGAGAGGAUUCUACCAGAAGACUACCCAGCUAAAUGGAAGCAUUGUUCUACCUGGAAGCAACAGACCCACUUAUCCUCAGAAAUAUUAGGACUAUCCACUGAGGUAACUCAGAAUCAAGGCUGGAAGUCUGCUACGGAUUCCUUGAUGUUCCGGGACCUACAAGACUUCUGCAGUGACUAGUGCGUGACUGACCUCAGGACUGCCUGAGCAGCUUGGAAGGCCCACAGGCCCCACUGGCAGCUCAUGGAUAUUAUCUUGCCAUUUUUUAUUCCUGGACAUUAGCUGUUUGAUUAAAGUGGAAAGAUAAGAAUUUUACAGAUUUGUAAAGAGAAUUAUCUAUGCAAUAAAACUCUGUUCCAAAAAGCACCUUCAAAAAGGAGCCAGCAUUUGCCAUAUCUAAAAGAACACAGGUCUCACAGUCUCACCCUGUCUUGCAGUCACAGAAACCAAAAGCUACAGAGGACAACACAGAGGAGCUGAGACUGACCCCUGAAGCGAAUAGGCAACUGACACUGGAAAGAUAUCAAAGCUACACUGACUCUGUUGGUGGCACUGUGACCUUAUGCAGCAAAUGAAGAUGUUGGUGAUUUUUUUCAAUAAUGCAUCUACAACACUGGAAAAGCAUAUGAUUGUUUUUCCUGAAAAAGCAACAUAUUAAUACUGUAAAUCUGUCUGGUUUCCGUCAGGACAACAUUAGUGUCACUGAAAGAAAAGGAAUACAGUGCUGUCUGGAUGGCAUGAUUUCUCAAAGGGGACAUUAUAAACAAUGAGUAUUUAUGAAUGGACACCACUUGGAAAGAGAGACUAGAAGUAUGGAAGGGAAAGGAAUACAGGAAAGAAUUGGGCACAUUCAAAGGAAGAUUGAAGAAAAUUAAAAAGAAAAAAAAAUAGAACUAACAUGCUGUUUGCUGCCAUUUAUCUGUACAUAUCUCGGUCCUGUCUUUGGAUUAAGUACUUCGGGGCAGGGACUGCAUACUACUGUGUCUUGGUACAGUGAAUUGUACAAUGAGCCUUACUCUUAUUUAUCCAUGGUAAUAAACAUUACUACAAUAUUUUUAGAUAGGGAUUGUUCAUUUCAUUUUAUUUUAAAUGUAUUUCUCCUGUAGGAAAGAAUUGAUCCAAGCUGUUCUGUGCCCAUC